CUGGCUACCAGUGCCUCUGGGCCUGCUCUCCCAGGCCAUCCUUCCGCAAAGGGCCAUCUGAAGUUUCCCAUAGUCUCAAUCUCCCAUUAUGCUUCAUGCCUGGAGGCCUUAACCUCAGCCUGUGCUCAGCACUGAGACUGUCUUUGUUUUAAAGGGGUGUGUGUGUGUGUGUGUGUGUGUGUGUGUGUGUGUGUGUAAGCCUGAGCUCAAUCUAAAGCAGAACAGCUUGGCUAGGCUGGGUAGCUGGUGGGUUUCAGAAAGCCCCUCCCAUCACGGCCAGGGUUAAAGGACACAGGACACUGCUUUUGCCUGGCUGUUUUCAAGGUUCUAGGAUCUGAGUUCUAGCCUUCCUGCUUGCUUGUCAGAACUCUACUGAGUCCUCUCCCUAGCCAGCAUUUUACAUUCCUUCUUCCAUUUUUGUUGUUUUGAGACCGGGUCUCACUAUAUAGCUUUGGCUAUCUUGGAACUCGCUGUGUAGACCAACCAAGCUGCCCCACGCCCUGUGCGCCCCCGACUCUGCCUCCUGAGUGUUGGGAUGAAAGGUGUGAACCUGUGUGGUCACCUCGUUCAGAUGUGAGUCACAUGGGGGCUGAGUCUACACUGUGCUCACAGUGGUAACAUGUUCACACCUGUUUCCGGUUUGUUUGGAAGUUUGCAUUUUCUGUGACCCCCAGUAACACAGACAAGGAAACUGAGGCUCAGAGAGAUGAAGAAACUAGAAACUGACAAGACCAGAACUUGAACCAGAACUGAGGUUCUUACCCACAAUGCCUGUCUUUACCGUCAGCCCUCUCAGCUGGCCGAGCUGUUUGCACCCUUACCUCUGCAUGUCAGGACCUAGCAGUUUGGCAAACAUUAAAUACUCAGUGUGUUA
rnacentral:lncRNA from 1 species